rnacentral:rRNA from 1 species
UACAGAGGGUGCAAGCGUUGUUCGGAAUUAUUGGGCGUAAAGCGCGUGUAGGCGGCUUUGCAAGUCGGGUGUGAAAGCCCUCAGCUCAACUGAGGAAGUGCGCCCGAAACUGCAGAGCUUGAGUGCCGGAGAGGGUGGCGGAAUUCCCCAAGUAGAGGUGAAAUUCGUAGAGAUCGGGAGGAACACCAGAGGCGAAGGCGGCGACCUGGACAAUUACUGACACUCAACUGCGAAAGCGUGGGGAGCAAACAGG